rnacentral:rRNA from 1 species
UGGGGAAUUUUUGGACAAUGGGCGAAAGCCUGAUCCAGCAAUGCCGCGUGUGUGAAGAAGGCCUUCGGGUUGUAAAGCACUUUUGUCCGGAAAGAAAUCCUUGGCUCUAAUACAGUCGGGGGAUGACGGUACCGGAAGAAUAAGCACCGGCUAACUACGUGCCAGCAGCCGCGGUAAUACGUAGGGUGCAAGCGUUAAUCGGAAUUACUGGGCGUAAAGCGUGCGCAGGCGGUUUGCUAAGACCGAUGUGAAAUCCCCGGGCUCAACCUGGGAACUGCAUUGGUGACUGGCAGGCUAGAGUAUGGCAGAGGGGGGUAGAAUUCCACGUGUAGCAGUGAAAUGCGUAGAGAUGUGGAGGAAUACCGAUGGCGAAGGCAGCCCCCUGGGCCAAUACUGACGCUCAUGCACGAAAGCGUGGGGAGCAAAACAGGAUUAGAUACCCUGGUAGUCCACGCCCUAAAACGAUGUCAACUAGUUGUUGGGGAUUCAUUUCCUUAGUAACGUAGCUAACGCGUGAAGUUGACCGCCUGGGGGAGUACGGUCGCAAGAUUAAAACUUAAAUGAAUUGACGGGGUCAUA